CCCCCCGCCCCCACCCCAUGGGAACAGUGCAGUCUGCAAUGGGGGGCACACAGAAAGGGUCCACAGAGGGGGCGUCCCCAGAUUUGGGAUGUGACGCCAUGGUGGGGAUGUGGGGGCACUCCCACCUCUGGGACAGACCCCAACUUUGGGCUGUGACACUGUGGGGGUGUCCCCAACUUGGGGGUCUGACACCAUCGGGGGGACACAGAGCUGUCCCAACUUUCGGGUGUGACACUGUGUAGGGCGUCCCCAACUUUGGGGUGUGACACUGUGGGGGCAUCCCCACCUUUGGGGUGUGACACGGUGACGCGGUGCCCCCACUUCCCCUGGGAAGUCCUCAAGCUGCUCACGGUGUCCCCAACUUCGACGCAAUGCCCCCAGGGGGGUCCUUUUGUCCCCUCUGCGUGACGGUGACACCCAAUGACAACGCCGCCGCGUCACGGCUGUUCCACACUGAUGUCACCCGUGGUCCCCUCUGCUGGUGGCACAGAGUUCACCUCCCGUCCUCGGG
ensembl:lncRNA